UGGGGAAUAUUGCACAAUGGGCGAAAGCCUGAUGCAGCGACGCCGCGUGGAGGAUGACGGCCUUCGGGUUGUAAACUCCUUUCAGCAGGGACGAAGAGUGAUUGACGGUACCUGCAGAAGAAGCACCGGCCAACUACGUGCCAGCAGCCGCGGUAAUACGUAGGGUGCAAGCGUUGUCCGGAAUUACUGGGCGUAAAGAGCUCGUAGGCGGUUUGUCGCGUCGUCUGUGAAAACCAGCAGCUCAACUGUUGGCUUGCAGGCGAUACGGGCAGACUUGAGUAUUUCAGGGGAGACUGGAAUUCCGGGUGUAGCGGUGAAAUGCGCAGAUAUCAGGAGGAACACCGGUGGCGAAGGCGGGUCUCUGGGAAAUAACUGACGCUGAGGGACGAAAGCGUGGGUAGCGAACA
rnacentral:rRNA from 1 species